UCCGUAGGUGGAUAAUUAAGUCAGAGGUGAAAUCCUGCAGCUCAACUGUAGAAUUGCCUUUGAAACUGGUUAUCUUGAGUUAUUAUGAAGUAGUUAGAAUAUGUAGUGUAGCGGUGAAAUGCAUAGAUAUUACAUAGAAUACCAAUUGCGAAGGCAGAUUACUAAUAAUCAACUGACACUGAUGGACGAAAGCGUGGGUAGCGAACAGGAUUAGAUACCCUGGUAGUCC
rnacentral:rRNA from 1 species